GGGGUCUUGGCACAGUGGUAGCGCGCAUGCUUCGCAUCUGCGAACCUGCAUGAGGUCGUGAGUUCAAUCCUCACAGGCUCCA